AACGGACGCUGGCGGCAGGCCUAACACAUGCAAGUCGAGCGAGGACUUCGGUUCUAGCGGCGGACGGGUGAGUAACGCGUGGGAAUGUGCCCUUCUCUACGGAAUAGCCCUGGGAAACUGGGAGUAAUACCGUAUACGCCCUAUUGGGGAAAGAUUUAUCGGAGAAGGAUCAGCCCGCGUUGGAUUAGGUAGUUGGUGGGGUAAUGGCCUACCAAGCCGACGAUCCAUAGCUGGUUUGAGAGGAUGAUCAGCCACACUGGGACUGAGACACGGCCCAGACUCCUACGGGAGGCAGCAGUGGGGAAUCUUAGACAAUGGGGGCAACCCUGAUCUAGCCACGCCGCGUGAGUGAUGAAGGCCUUAGGGUUGUAAAGCUCUUUCAGCUGGGAAGAUAAUGACGGUACCAGCAGAAGAAGCCCCGGCUAACUCCGUG
rnacentral:rRNA from 1 species